rnacentral:rRNA from 1 species
UACGUAGGGUCCGAGCGUUUGUCCGGAAUUACUGGGCGUAAAGAGCUUGUAGGCGGUUUGUCGCGUCGUUUGUGAAAACUUGGGGCUCAACCUUAAGCUUGCAGGCGAUACGGGCAGACUAGAGUACUUCAGGGGAGACUGGAAUUCCUGGUGUAGCGGUGAAAUGCGUAGAUAUCUGGAGGAACACCGGUGGCGAAGGCGACAUCCUGGACCGGCAUUGACGCUGAGGCGCGAAAGCCAGGGGAGCAAAACGGGG